UGGGGAAUAUUGCACAAUGGGCGAAAGCCUGAUGCAGCGACGCCGCGUGAGGGAUGACGGCCUUCGGGUUGUAAACCUCUUUCAGUAGGGACGAAGCGCAAGUGACGGUACCUGCAGAAGAAGCACCGGCUAACUACGUGCCAGCAGCCGCGGUAAUACGUAGGGUGCGAGCGUUGUCCGGAAUUACUGGGCGUAAAGAGCUCGUAGGCGGUUGGUCACGUCGUCUGGGAAAUCCUAGGGCUUAACCCUGGACGUGCAGGCGAUACGGGCUGACUUGAGUCCUACAGGGGAGACUGGAAUUUCUGGUGUAGCGGUGGAAUGCACAGAUAUCAGGAAGAACACCGAUGGCGAAGGCAGGUCUCUGGGUAGUAACUGACGCUGAGGAGCGAAAGCAUGGGUAGGGAACAGG
rnacentral:rRNA from 1 species